ACGGGUGAGUAAUGCAUCGGGACCUACCCAGACGUGGGGGAUAACGUAGGGAAACUUACGCUAAUACCGCAUACGUCCUACGGGAGAAAGCGGGGGACCUUCGGGCCUCGCGCGGUUGGACGGACCGAUGUGCGAUUAGCUAGUUGGUAGGGUAAUGGCCUACCAAGGCGACGAUCGCUAGCUGGUCUGAGAGGAUGAUCAGCCACACUGGGACUGAGACACGGCCCAGACUCCUACGGGAGGCAGCAGUGGGGAAUAUUGGACAAUGGGCGCAAGCCUGAUCCAGCAAUGCCGCGUGUGUGAAGAAGGCCUUCGGGUUGUAAAGCACUUUUAUCAGGAACGAAAUACCACGGGUUAAUAACCUAUGGGGCUGACGGUACCUGAGGAAUAAGCACCGGCUAACUUCGUGCCAGCAGCCGCGGUAAUACGAAGGGUGCAAGCGUUAAUCGGAAUUACUGGGCGUAAAGGGUGCGUAGGCGGUUGUUUAAGUCUGUCGUGAAAUCCCCGGGCUCAACCUGGGGAUGGCGAUGGAUACUGGACAGCUAGAGUGUGUCAGAGGAUGGUGGAAUUCCCGGUGU
rnacentral:rRNA from 1 species